GACGAACGCUGGCGGCGUGCCUAAUACAUGCAAGUAGAACGCUGAAGGAGGAGCUUGCUUCUCUGGAUGAGUUGCGAACGGGUGAGUAACGCGUAGGUAACCUGCCUGGUAGCGGGGGAUAACUAUUGGAAACGAUAGCUAAUACCGCAUAAGAGUAGAUGUUGCAUGACAUUUGCUUAAAAGGUGCAAUUGCAUCACUACCAGAUGGACCUGCGUUGUAUUAGCUAGUUGGUGGGGUAACGGCUCACCAAGGCGACGAUACAUAGCCGACCUGAGAGGGGGAUCGGCCACACUGGGACUGAGACACGGCCCAGACUCCUACGGGAGGCAGCAGUAGGGAAUCUUCGGCAAUAGACGGAAGUCUGACCGAGCAUCGCCGCGUGAGUGAAGAAGGUUUUCGGAUCGUAAAGCUCUGUUGUAAGAGAAGAACGAGUGUGAGAGUGGAAAGUUCACACUGUGACGGUAUCUUACCAGAAAGGGACGGCUAACUACGUG
rnacentral:rRNA from 1 species